rnacentral:rRNA from 1 species
GCUAAACUUAAUAACGAUUCAUAUUCAAUCUCGUCUAGAUCUCGGAAGCUAAGCAAGUCCGCAUCUGGUUAGCACUUGGAUGGGAGACCGCGGGGAAUACCAAGUGCC